rnacentral:rRNA from 1 species
GACGAACGCUGGCGGCGUGCCUAAUACAUGCAAGUAGAACGCUGAAGAGAGGAGCUUGCUCUUCUUGGAUGAGUUGCGAACGGGUGAGUAACGCGUAGGUAACCUGCCUGGUAGCGGGGGAUAACUAUUGGAAACGAUAGCUAAUACCGCAUAACAACAGUUGUUGCAUGACAGCUGUUUAAAAGAUGCAAUUGCAUCACUACCAGAUGGACCUGCGUUGUAUUAGCUAGUUGGUGAGGUAACGGCUCACCAAGGCGACGAUACAUAGCCGACCUGAGAGGGUGAUCGGCCACACUGGGACUGAGACACGGCCCAGACUCCUACGGGAGGCAGCAGUAGGGAAUCUUCGGCAAUGGGGGGAACCCUGACCGAGCAACGCCGCGUGAGUGAAGAAGGUUUUCGGAUCGUAAAGCUCUGUUGUAAGAGAAGAACGGGUGUGAGAGUGGAAAGUUCACACUGUGACGGUAUCUGACCAGAAAGGGACGGCUAACUACGUG